UCCAGUCCCUUGCUUGGAGGAGAGUGGAUGGCAUCCCUGGCUGGCUGAGGGAACUACAGGACCUUGGACAGGGCAGUGCUGUGCUGCUGAAAGCCAGGGAGAGCAAGAAGGAGCUCUGAGCUGGCUGCUGGGACUAUCAGGACAAGGCCCUGAGGACCAAAUCCAGAUAGGCUGGUGAGAGACCAUACCACCUUACAAAGGGACUUUGGCUACAGGAACCUCAAGAAUCGUGCAGGGAUGAAGCACCAGCACUAUUCAGCAUAGAUGUCCAGGGAUCAUAGCAUGCCUGGGAAUCCUUCAGAGUAUGAAGAUAGGUGUCAGUCUUAUCAGUGAAGAGCUUUGGGGCCUUUGAACAGGAGAUUCUCAACCAUUGGCUGUACUUUUUUGGGCAACUUGGAAAGCUGUAAUCAGGAGGCCAUCUCAUUACCACUGCUGUGGAGACUGAGUGGGCUGUUGUAUCUGCUGUGUCCAAUGCCAUCUGUAGUGCAGUUCUGGCUACUA